GACAUCCACCGCCUCCUCCGCGACGGGUUCAG
rnacentral:scRNA from 1 species